rnacentral:rRNA from 1 species
UACAGAGGUGGCAAGCGUUGUUCGGAAUUACUGGGCGUAAAGGGCGCGUAGGCGGUCUGGUCAGUCCCUUGUGAAAUCCCCCGGCUCAACUGGGGAACUGCACGGGAAACAGCCGGGCUUGAGUUCGGGAGAGGGAAGCGGGAUUCUGGGUGUAGCGGUGAAAUGCGUAGAUAUCCGGAGGAACACCGGUGGCGAAGGCGGCUUCCUGGACCGAUACUGACGCUGAGGCGCGAAAGCUAGGGGAGCAAACGGG